rnacentral:lncRNA from 1 species
CUGUGUUUCAGUGAUACUCUGAUUACCCAUUGGUAUUUUCUUUGGCAAGACACAGAGUUCCUAUCCCCAAGAGCAGUCCA